rnacentral:rRNA from 1 species
UGAAUACGAGACGCUAAGGCGUCGAAGUAGUGUAUGUCAUACUUCCAAGAAAAGCUUGCACUGUCAUAAGUAAAAAAUGCCUGUACCAUAACCGACACAGGUGGGUAGGUAGAGUAUACUAAGGGGCGCGAGAUAACUCUCUCUAAGGAACUCGGCAAAAUAACUCCGUAACUUCGGGAGAAGGAGUACCUUAUUCUAUAAGGUUGCAAUAACAAGAUCCAAGCAACUGUUUAUCAAAAACACAGGUCUCCGCUAAGUCGUAAGACGAUGUAUGGGGGCUGACGCCUGCCCAGUGCCAGAAGGUUAAAGAAGUCGGUUAGCAUUAGCGAAGCUGGUAACUGAAGCCCUGGUGAACGGCGGCCGUAACUAUAACGGUCCUAAGGUAGCGAAAUUCCUUGUCGGGUAAGUUCCGACCCGCACGAAAGGCGUAAUGAUUUGGAUACUGUCUCGGAGAGGGGCUCGGUGAAAUAGACUUGUCUGUGAAGAUGCGGACUACCUGCACCAGGACAGAAAGACCCUAUGAAGCUUUACUGUAACUUGAAAUUGAAAUUGGACUUUAUUCGCGCAGUAUAGGUGGGAGGUGUUGAUUAUAAUCUUGCGGGAUUAUUGGAGCCAUCAGUGAGAUACCACUCUUGUAAUGUUAGAUUUCUAACUUUGAAUCAUUAUCUGGUCAAAGGACAGUUUCAGGCGGGCAGUUUGACUGGGGCGGUCGCCUCCCAAACGGUAACGGAGGCGUACAAAGGUUUCCUCUGAACGGGUAGAAAUCGUAUCUAGAGUGUAAAGGCAUAAGGAAGCUUGACUGUGAGACCUACAAGUCGAACAGGGACGAAAGUCGGUCUUAGUGAUCUGACGGUACUGAGUGGAAAGGCCGUCACUCAACGGAUAAAAGUUACUCUAGGAUAACAGGCUGAUCUCCCCCAAGAGUUCACAUCGACGGGGAGGUUUGGCACCUCGAUGUCGGCUCAUCGCAUCCUGGGGCGGUAGUACGUCCCAAGGGUUGGGCUGUUCGCCCAUGAAAGCGGUACGCGAGCUGGGUUCAGAACGUCGUGAGACAGUUCGGUCCAUAUCCGGUGUAGGCGUUAGAAUAUUGAGAGGAGCCUUCUUUAGUACGAGAGGACCGAGAAGGACAUACCUCUGGUGUACCAGUUAUCGUGCCAACGGUAAACGCUGGGUAGCUAUGUAUGGAGUGGAUAACCGCUGAAAGCAUCUAAGUGGGAAGCCCGCCUCAAGAUAAG